rnacentral:rRNA from 1 species
AGUGAACGCUGGCGGUAGGCCUAACACAUGCAAGUCGAACGGCAGCACAGUAAGAGCUUGCUCUUACGGGUGGCGAGUGGCGGACGGGUGAGGAAUACAUCGGAAUCUACUUUUUCGUGGGGGAUAACGUAGGGAAACUUACGCUAAUACCGCAUACGACCUACGGGUGAAAGCAGGGGAUCUUCGGACCUUGCGCGAUUGAAUGAGCCGAUGUCGGAUUAGCUAGUUGGCGGGGUAAAGGCCCACUAAGGCGACGAUCCGUAGCUGGUCUGAGAGGAUGAUCGGCCACACUGGAACUGAGACACGGUCCAGACUCCUACGGGAGGCAGCAGUGGGGAAUAUUGGACAAUGGGCGCAAGCCUGAUCCAGCCAUACCGCGUGGGUGAAGAAGGCCUUCGGGUUGUAAAGCCCUUUUGUUGGGAAAGAAAAGCAGCAGGUUAAUACCCCGCUGUUCUGACGGUACCCAAAGAAUAAGCACCGGCUAACUUCGUG